UACAAUUUUAUGAAUUGUAAAAGUUUUUAAUCUUCAAAUGUUUUACAAUUUUCAAUGUUAUUAAAAAAAUAUAUCAUAUAUGAAAAAUGUUGCGAGAAUCUUUUGAACAUUAGUCGUGGGUGAAAUAAAUUUAUUUUUGUAGGAUGGUACAGAGGGGAAAAAGAGAGCCAUGAAGUUUGCUAUCCCAAUAAUUUGGCGGGAACCCACUGACCACUCAAGCAACUGCUACAUCUGCAUGGGGGACACCCUUCCAAACGUAGGACUGGCAAGAAUGCACCUGCUAUCACGUAUCCGGACCUGCCCUCAUCCAUCGCCCCGGUGCCACACUACCAUGAGCUCCCUGUACCCACUCCUCCGGAGAGAGACCAGCCGUCUUUAGAAGAGAGCAGCAAGUCAGAGAGCGAGGGAGACUUUGUAGAUCCAGAUGACAAUUUCAGAGGUGGAGUUAAGGAGAGAAACCCAUAAUAUCCCAACCAAAAAGACCUCAACGACUUGAUCGGAGAUCUUUGUCUCACCAAGUCCAAUGCCCAGCUUUUGACAUCCAGGCUCAAGCAGUGGAAUUUGUUGGAUGAAAGUGUGCAAGUUGCAGAUCAGAGGAAGUGUCAUGAACCUUUUUGCAGCUUCUUCACCCGUCAAGAUGGGCUCUGCUUCUGCCACAAUGUGACCAGUCUGUUCGAGGCAAUCGGAAUCGCCUGUAACCAGAAUGAGUGGCGCCUCUUCAUUGACAGCUCAUCCAGGAGCCUCAAAGCCGUGCUGCUCCACAAUGAUGUCCAGUCGAAUGGUCCCCAGCCACGCUCCGGGAUUUCCAUGAGCCGAGCCUGAGCCAAGCCACGACUGAACGUGCUCACUCGCGCGUCUUUGAAAGCAGCCGCGUGGCAUCAAGCCUGAGCUGAGCCCCCAGCGUUCAGAGGCCGAACCAGCGACGAGUGUUUUUCCCCAAGUGAAGCCAGUAGGAUUAAUAUGAUAUCAUCCAUGUGUCUGGUAUUCACACCGUUCAUAUAGCGGCAACAAUGUCACCAGAGCACUGUGUUUCACAGACGUGGCUUGCGAGCGUUUCGCAGCAGGGAGUGAUGUUGUCUUCGCGUCACCUUUUUGACGGGCACAUUCUUCAACAUUUGCCACAGUUGGAACAUGACGCCGGCGCGGAGCGUCCUCCUCUUUUCGAUCGAUGUCAAGAGAUCUUUGAUGGCCACCGUGCAGCAGACGGUUCGUUGUGUUUGUUGACGGUGAAUACAACCGCCGGUAUUUACUAUUAACCAGGGGAGGCCUGCCAGAUUCGAACCGCGGAGCUCCGCAACGGGCGCCGAACUCGCGAGCGCGGUCGCGUCAACCGCUCCAUUUACCGCGCUACAAUUGUGCGCACGUACGCGGAGCUGUGCGCACGCACGCGGGGCUGUGCGUCGCGUGCAUUGCGUGCGCGUUCGAUCUUGGCGGGAAAUAAUUCUGUGAGCUCUAUAUAUGAACGAGCGGCAUUAUCCCGGCACUCCGCCGGGCCGUGCUCGUCUGCCGGGAGAGCCACGCGAACACAUUUCAAUCAAGCCGCGGCCGUUUUCUCUCCCCCCUGCCCCGCGAUAUCGCUCCUUGAUUGAGCAAAUGCUCUUCCAUAGGGAAAUCAUGCGCAGCGCUGAACUUUAAAAUUCCAAACGUAUGUCCUGGAUGUUAAUUGGGCACAUGUUUUAUUCUUAUAUGAAAAGUGGGUAACCUUUUGUCCGUUGCACUGCUCAGUUCGCACCACACUGAUUGCUGUUUGAUGAGAUAAAACCAAAUAUGUAAAUUUGAAAAUAAACAUCAGAUGUCGAGCAUGCGAUUGACAUGCAUUCACGAA